GUAGGUUUUCAUUAUUAAAGGUAUCGAUUCUCAAUACCUGUGGAGUCGAUGUGGAAGAGGUGGCGGGGAUUCUCAGGUCCACUUGAUAUUAUUAACUGCAACCACCCCCCACCCCCCCCCCCCCUUCAUUCCUCAUUACCCGGACCACCGCAGUCAGCAAAAUGUUUUGCCAAGUGAUGAGAUCGAGCGAGUUGAACGAGCCACUGAUGGACGGACGUGGAAAGAGCAGAGAGGGAAAAUAAAAAAAACACUGUUGGUACAGUCUGUUGCAAAUCGUCCUUCACAAGCACGGCCAUCCAGCCCGUUUUAAGGUUCGAGUGAGACAUCGAUGAGCUCGUUGUACAUCAGCGGUCCGUGAAUCUGAAAUUCUGAAUUUGGGGCGAGCGAUAUUCUGCCUACGUAGCAAAGUCUCGUGCGUGAUGCAGUUAGCAAUGACAACAAAACUAAUGGUCCUCUGAAGUCAGUCCCAAUGGGUUCGGAGUAGGCCAAACACAUGAAUCAAAUGCUGUACUUGGUGACCGGCUAUUUCCUCCGAAGUGUGAAGUACAUCCUCACAUUACUCAAAGCCAGUGACUUGGGUUCAUUCAUUGUGUGUAGAUAUUGUAUUUGAGGCGUUGAUAACACACAUCAGUCAAGCCACGGGACUCUUCUCUCUCAGUGUUGGAGUUGUUGAACGUUUACAGAUAAAUGUUAAAAUUGACAUUUCUUGUGCCGAUUACGCGUGUUCGGCGUUCAGUUACAUUUUGCUUGCCCCCGUGCUCACGGCGACAUGUUUUUCUCCGCGCCCCAGCGCGCACACGCCCGCUUCGCGUGUUCGGCGCACAGGCGGCGACAUCUUUCAUUCGGCGUAGUCCGCGCAGGUGCGCGACGCUCGCAGGACGGAGGCCGGCGGAGGGGAGAAGGGAGGAGAAACGCAAAGGCACAACGCGGCGCGCGUGCGAGCUCCUCUCAGAGCCCCUCGUCCGUCUUCAUUGUGCCGAAUGGAGGAAGCGAGACGGCGGGCCGCGGCGCGAAAGGGCAAAGGUCACGUGGACGACGGAAAGAAGCAACAGAAAAGCCCAGCCGGUGUGGAUUGUAACCUGCAGCUUGCUGUCUGGUUCCCUCUCGCUGUUAUUGUGUGUGUCUCUGUCUCGCCGGGCUGCUCAUAUAUAACUCGCGCAAUAGGAAAACCUUUUAAGGUUUCUUUUUUUUUUUUUCCUCCUCCAGUUGCACUAAUGGAUCUAUUUUCCAGCUAAGAGCAACCUAAUGUACCUAUACAGGAUUAAUAAACAAUUCAUGACGAUCAGUCUUCAAAAGGACUGAUAGGCAGGUUUACAUGCGGGAUGUGAGUGCUCUCAACCUUUUUAUUUAUUUCUUUUCACACGAAAUGCCGAGUCCAUCAAUGCGUGUCGCGGGCUCUAAUUAGAAAAAACUAAAUCGCAAGCGAGCACAGUGAUAUUCACCUUUUCAGAUUUGUUUUAUUACCUAACCAGCGUCUCAUUUGUAUUCAUAUAUCUUGUUACUCUAAAGUAAAUCACCAGGUGGUGCCCCAUUUACAAGUAUAUCACCAAUUAGCUCAGCAAAUGCUUUUUCGUUAGAAGAUAAAUGCUCCGCAAUUGGACGUGGAAUUCCUCCAGAGAUUGAAGAGCGAGCCGCGUUCGCAUGUAAGUAAUGAAAUGUGCUUUAGUUUGAAAGCCAGCGGGGCAUUCUCCUGAACAAUACAUAGUUUUGUCUGAGAUUUAUAUCUGCGAAACAACCACAUGAUUGAUCCUCUUUAAUAUCUCUCAGACUCGGAGAUAACAGACACAGGAAACUCCUGGAAAGGGAGCGCAGAUUGAAUCUCCUCUGGCAAUCUCCGCUCAACCUUUCCCCGCAAUCGGCCUCCUGGCUCGCCGCCAACGCGGGGCCGAGAACCCAGCAGAAAGGCGGCGGGAAUAUUCGGUGGCAGAGCGAGUCGCCCCGUGAGCCUCUAGGCCCGCGCAGGUGAUCUUCGCAUUCCCGCGGGGUGAUUCCGUGUAUUUGUGACUCUCUCUCUCUCUGUGGCCAUCUGUUGGUCUAUUGCCUCUCUCAUCUAUAUGGAUAACAAGACAUGCAUUGGAAUGACUAAUACAACAGGCUUCGUAUGGCGCGGGUGCACUAACAAGGGGGUGCAUAUGCUGUGCUGAGGGUUGAGGCCGAGCCAGGGAGCCACCGUAGCUUCAUGAAGUAUUGGUGGUGGAGUCCAGGCCUGAAGAUGUGCUUAUCCGCCUCGAAAGAACAGCGAGCCAUUGAGGUGACGGCCGAAGUCCCGCCCGUGGGAGGAGGGUUACAGCGCCGGUCCGACGUAGGGAGGAAGGGGGUGGUGGUUGUUGAGGGAGAUUCAGCAGUGGAUCCGUAAGACGAGGACAAGGGGGGGGGGGGGCUCCGAGAGGCCGAUCCGUUCAGGACGAGCUCUGUUGCCGGGAAAAAAAAAACGGGAUUUGACGUGUUCUUGUCCACGUGCAGAUGUUUAGUGCACCCGUGUGUGUGAUUGAUGCCUUUUGAGGGAGCGCGAUUCGCGAAUGUGAACCCACACGCUCUGAAUGUGCGAGCGCGCGUUCAUCGGGGAGCCUCACUAAAUAUUUCAAAGGGCCAAGAGAGAAAACAAAGGGAAAGUGGAUAUCGGAAUCUGGAGCAGUAUUCCCAGAAGAGAGACACCGAAGGAGCCCCCCUACAACAGGAAUAAGACCCUUUGAUCUAUGCUACGGAUUCUAUUGUUAUCUGCUGUAAACCUCCACCCUCCCAUCUAUGCACUGUGGAACUUGAGGCCAACAAAUACAGUAUGUGCGGAAUUAAUAGGCAUAUGUUUACUCAUUGAACCUGCAAAAUACUUGAUAUCGCCUGGGAAGCUGUACUAAUUUGUAGCAU
ensembl:lncRNA